GAUGAACGCUGGCGGCGUGCCUAAUACAUGCAAGUCGAGCGAACAGAUGAGGAGCUUGCUCCACUGACGUUAGCGGCGGACGGGUGAGUAACACGUGGAUAACCUACCUAUAAGACUGGGAUAACUUCGGGAAACCGGAGCUAAUACCGGAUAAUAUAUUGAACCGCAUGGUUCAAUAGUGAAAGACGGUUUUGCUGUCACUUAUAGAUGGAUCCGCGCCGCAUUAGCUAGUUGGUAAGGUAACGGCUUACCAAGGCAACGAUGCGUAGCCGACCUGAGAGGGUGAUCGGCCACACUGGAACUGAGACACGGUCCAGACUCCUACGGGAGGCAGCAGUAGGGAAUCUUCCGCAAUAGGCGAAAACCUGACGGAGCAACGCCGCGUGAGUGAUGAAGAUCUUCGGAUCGUAAAACUCUGUUAUUAGGGAAGAACAAAUGUGUAAGUAACUAUGCACGUCUUGACGGUACCUAAUCAGAAAGCCACGGCUAACUACGUG
rnacentral:rRNA from 1 species